CACCACUCAAGUUGUUUGAUGAAAGAUAAAGACGUUCAAGGUUCACAAGAUCAAAAAAAGAACUAGGUAUUGGUCCAUGAAUGUCAUUAGAACUCAAAUCUAUAUAUUGGACCGAAUUAGGCUUCCGAAUUUGGUCAAUUUGACCGGUAAGUUUGUUAUAGCUAAGAUCUAAAGUUUGCAAAGAUGGUAAAGUAAACAACCAAGAUGGUACUCCACCACUUACAAGGUUACUAGAUAACCAAAAAACUUCUAGCAAUUGAAGCUCACUAACAUGAUUUGGUAGGGAACCUUCUAAUCGAUUAAAUGACAAAUCUAGAUAGGUAAGUUGUGUGAGGUUGAACAUGGAUGCUGGAAGUUGACCACUACAAUUACAGGAAUCAAAUGACAAAAAAGUCAAUUUAUUAAGAUUUCCAAAAACAUCUGGAAUCUGUCCUCCAAAAUCAUUUUGAGAAAAAUCUAGGAAGAUGAGUUGAGUGAGAUUUCCAAAUGAUGCAGGAAUUGAUCCUUUAAAACGGCAAGAGGAAAGGUCUAACAACUGAAGGGCAUUACUCAAGUUUGACUUAGGGAGAUAACCUGUGAGAUUGUAAUUGUUACUUAAAUCUAUAUGCUGGAGGUAUGGAAGGCGAAAAACUUCAAUUGGAAAUUCUCCAUGCAGUUGACACUCUUUGACACUCAAACGUUCUAGAGAUGAAGUCAAGUUCAGAAACGAAGGAAUUGCAACAUCAGACAUAUCUACAGAGUCAAGGAUAAGAUUUCUUAAUUCAAUGAAGUUUCGUGCAAGCAUUUCAAAACCUUGAUUAUCAAAUCUCAAGUUGUGAUCACCACCACUCCAAGAAAGAUCAAGUGAAACCAACUUUGAUAGGAGACUGAUUUCAUAUGGGAUUAAGUCAGAGAAUGAAUUAAAAGAGAGAUUAAGAUGGGCCAAACUCACAAACUGAUUAAAUAACUUCGAUGAGAUCGAGCCAUUGAAAUCGUUGUAAGCAAGGUUGAGCCGUUGGAGUUCUUGAAGGUGGAAGAGAUUGCUGUUUGCAGGAAGAGUGCCGUUAAGGCAGCUUUCACUGAGGUCGAUGCCGAUGACAUGACCCGUCACCUUGUGGCAACUGACUCCAUCCCAUGAACAACAAUCCGUGCUUUCGUUCCAAGAAUUUAUCUUGGGGUAAGAAGAAAACGUCUGACAAUCACCCAAAGAAAUGGUGUUUUUGAAUUCGAGCAAGGCAGCUCUCUGCUCUGGGAGGCAUAAAUGAGCUGAAGGAAGAAAAGAGGAAGGGGAACUCAAUGAACAAUGGACCUGGAAAUGGAAGAGCGCUAAAAGCAGGCAAUGGUACAACAUCCUAAUUACCUUUCCCAUAUUUUGUCGAGGAAAAGGAAAUUAGGAAUCAAGGGUCGUGGAAAAGGGGCAAGUGAGGGAGGUGAACUUAAAAAUGAGUUGUGGUUGAAGCUGAGGGACACGAGAAUUGAAGUAGUACUGGAGAAGUGGGGACAUGAAAUUAAAGUUUUUGUGCCGUGUUCGAAUGAAAAGCAUGAAGGCCGCUGAAUCCCAUCCCCUUAGAGACGUUGGUAGGAUUUGCAUAUUUUUCUUAAAUUCUCAAUUGAUGUCUAUUUUUAUUUUAGACCCAAAUAUUUCAUGAUGAGAAUCUAAGUGGAGUAGCGACACAAAACAGUUGGUCUUAGAAUUGCAACUCAUUACAACCAGUGUUAUUGUUUUUGUCAGGUUGAUUUUGGAUAUUCAAGUUUCAUUCUAUUCAUGACAUGCUAAUGUCACUUGGAUAAUGUUCAAGCAAGAACAUGAGUGCAAGGAAUGUCAUUAUGCAAGAUUUAUCAAUUAAUUGAAGUGACUUUUUCUUUCUGUAAAUAUAUAAAAAAAAAUUAUUGAGUCUUAAAAAAAAGAAGCAACUCUCUCCAAUCUUUUUUUUUUAUUCUUUUUUAGUUUGAAAAAAAAGAAACCAUAUCUUUAAACCUAACUUUUUAAAUAUGGAAAUAUAUGCAAUUUUUGGCAAUAUAUACACUAUUUUCUUAUUUUGAAAAUCUGUUAAAGUGGCCCUUCAGACAAACAGAUGAUAAUUGAAGUAAACAUUUAAUUUUUAUUCCUUUUUAUUAGCAGAAAAUUAAAGUAAACUUCAUAGUUUAGUUAUAUAACUUUUUAAAAAAUUAAAAAUAAAAAAUCAGAUAAUUUAAUUGAAAUUUUCCGUAAAAGGCCCCCAUUUGUUGGAGUUUUUCAGUUUUACGCCUAAAAUUAAUCCAAAAUUUUAUGUUCAAUUUUCAUAGCAUAAAAACGCAGCCUCAAAAUCAUUUUCUUUUGUAGUAUUUAACUCACAUGAGGUGAUAAAAUAAAUUAAAAAUUCAUUGAAUAAUUCAAAAUUGAAUCUAUCAAAUUGGGUCAAGCCAGUGGGCCACCCGACCCAUGGAUAGGUCUAGUACAGUGUUUGUAGAAAGGAAAAACGUGAAUGCUAUCGACUGUUGUUGUUCCUAUUUGAAGGCACAUUCAAAUUCAAUCCCUUUCAUACAGUUGUUUCUCAAUAGAUUGGACAUAGUCUUCACUCAACAAAGCUAAUUAAUUGUUAUACGAACCCUUAGUUCACGUUAAUCCCUUUUCUUACAUAUGAAAAUAUAGAUAUAUAUGUAAUUUUUGAAUAAUUAAUUCAAUAAUAAGGAUCAAAUUUCUACUUCAACCCUUUCAUCCUUGUUCUUUCCGUGCAUAAUAAAAAAUUAUUAAAUAGACAGCAUAUUUUCUCAUAUUUUCAUACGAGACAACAUCCUAACUACCCUUCCCAUAUUUUCUCGAGAAAAAGAAGGUUACGUAACAAGGGUCGUCGAAAAGGGAGGUGAAGUUGAAAAUGGGUUGUGGCUGAGGCCGCAGGACAUAUAAAUAGAAGUACUGGAGAAGUGGAGACAUCCUUUUUUCCAGUCAAUCAACAAGUUUUUCCAAAAUCAUUUAAGUUGUUUCCCAUCAAUGCGUUUAAAGUCAAGUCUUCUUAGCUUAAAAAUUUAUUAAUUGGGUUGAGAAAUUUCAACAGCAAUAGUGUUAGAGCCUGGAAUCAAAAGUAAAUUAAUGGUAUAAAAAAAAGAAGUGUUGGUGGCGUGUUAGAAUGAAAAGCAUGAAUUGAAGGUGCAUAUAUUCUUGAAUUCUUAUUGUAUGUCUACCUUUAUUUUAUUGUUUACAGGAAAGUCUUAUUGGGAUAAGCUAAUUAGACCCAAAUGUCCCACAAUUAUCAUCCAGAGAAAUGGAGUUUCUGAAUUCGAGCAAGGCAGCACUCUGUUCUGGGAGGCAUAAUAAAUGAGUUGAAUGAAGAAAAGAGGAAGGGAAACUCAAUGAACAAUGGACCUGGAAAUGGAAGAGCGCUAAGCUGAGGGACAUGAAAAGUGAACUAGUAGAGCAUCUCUUUUCCAAGUAAACCACCAGGUCUUUCCAAAAUCUUUUUAAGUUGUUUUCCAUUAAUGCAUUUCUAGACAACUUAAAACAUUGUUCACUAUGCUGAGAAUUUUCAACAGAAAAAGUGUUUGCCUAAAAUCAGAAUGGAAAGCGCUGGUGGCGUGUUAGAAUGGAAAGCGUGAAGCCCGCUGACCCUAUCCCAUCCCAUCUGAGGCGUCAGUAGGAUUUGCAUAUUUUCUUGAUUUCUCACUGUAUGCCUCCUUCUAUUUUGUUUUUUAUAGGAAAACCUUACUGGGAAAAAGCUGAUUAGAACCAAAUUUCAUUAUCGGAAUCUAAGUGGAGUAGAGACACAAAAACUAUUCAUCUUAGAAUUUGCAAUUCAUUACAACCAGUUCUAUUAUUUUUAUUUUUAUUUUUAUUUUUAGUGUUUAACUCACCCGACGUAAUAAUAAAACAAAAAUUUAUUGAAUAAAGAAAUUCUUUAUGUAGAUUACAGCGAAUUCAGGCCACCAUCAAAGCAACUUUAAGAAAUUACAAAUAUAUUCGGAUCAUUACCAGAAACAUACCUUUUUAAAAAAAAAAAAAAACCAAAUAUUAAAGCAAGUUUAUAAGCAUGUUUUUAUCAUCCUUCAAUUACUUUUUCAUGUUAAAAGCACCUACUAAAAGUUAGAGUAAUGUUAUUUUUCCUUGUAUUUUUGUUUUUACUAACAUGAUUAAAAAAUUAAAAUUUUAUUAAAUAAUUUAAAAAUAAGAUUUUAUAGACUGACAGAACAUGGGGCGACACAACAGAUCAGUAAAGGGUAGAACGGCACAGUGAAUCACCAGAAUGAUCAGGUCAGCUAAUUCUCACGUUGCGAAUUAUAGAAAAAUCAUUCUGUUUGAAGAACUUAAGUACUCUGCUGCAGUUCCAUUUUUUGAACUAUUAUGGAUGGCUGGAGUCUAUUCCCAAGUAAAACUUUUGCACUGUGGAUUCUGUGUUGCUGAAGGUUAGAGCCAGAUGUCACGUAGGGAUAGAAAUAUUGAUACUGGUGGUUUUUUGGUAGUGCCAGACAGUUAGGUAUUAAGAGUUGACAGAGCUUUUGUAAGGGGUGAACAGGGUGGUGCAGAGGAAACAUAACUAUGCAAAACCAGCUAUACCUAGAGCUGAACUGUUGUUCCCUCAAAUAUCAAUACAUAUUGAACUUAAAAAAAAAAAUGCAAGCUUAUCCAUACAGUGUGACUGCAUACACUUUAGACAUUAAUCAAAUGCUCAAGUACAAUGUUUAGGAUUUAAAUUUAAGUCUUGCAAAUUAAAACAUUUUCAAUACAAAUUCUAAAUUCAGAAAAAAAAAAAGACCUUCAAAACAUGCCUUUUCCAAGCCUCAAAACCUACAGAUAAAAGCUACUGCUCACAUAUUUAAAAAUGAUCAAAGCUGAACAGGAAAAGCAAAUUUUCCACUAAGAACACCAAGAAUCAUAUUACCCAUUCAGAUACUCAGUGAACACCUGAAUUCAGAUACUCGACAAACUUUAUCGACUUAUUUGAGACAAAAUUUAAGUUUAAUGAUUAAAACAGGAAUUAUGUGGAAGUUCAGUGACCAUCCGUGCAACUUAGUCUAUUUAUUCUCUGAAAUUUAACUGUUCCAAUGUUGCUGCCGUCCAAAAAUUGGAUAUUGGCAGCAGCCGACAUAUCCCUUGGUAGCCGUGCAACCAAAGCAUGGCUGGCCUCCUUUUGGGCACCAACCUGGACUCAAAAAAUGUAAUGCAUUUGUUUAUGUAAUAUGAAUAUUCCCUCAUAUGGCCAGUUGGGUUACGUACGAUACAAAAUCGGGGAUUCUUAGCUGCCAAAAAAAGGAUAAUAAUCCAAACCCAUAGCCAGCUUUUACUGUGUAACUCUUUUACUUUACAGUUUGGUUUCAAUUUAGUUGAUUGCCAUAAUCACAGAAUCAUUGAAAUAGGAUUCUUCAGUCGGGGAAAAUGUGGGGUGUCCUAGCUCAUAAGAUCGAAUCAAGUCCUUUCUUAAUAAAUAUAGUUUAUGUGUGUUUCAAACAAUCAUAUCUGUUGGUUUUUUCCAACAAACAUGACUUUUAUUUUAAUUUUAUUUUUUAACAGACAUGAUUUUUUAAAUAUAAUUUUUUUAAUAGAUAUUUUAUUUAAAACUGUUCCAAUAGAAAGAAAAUGAAGAUGGUGACAGAAGAUAAAAAGGGGGAAUUCAAAAAGGAAAUUAAACAAGAUGGCAAAGUACCAUGUUAGAAAGGAACGGCAUGAAGCGUGUUGACUGUUGUAUGCAUACAUGUUAAAAUCGUACCAUAUAGACUUGUCUGCAUAGACCCUUAACCUGAGCUAAUUAAGGGUCUUUGUACAGCUUUUGGGAGUGAAGAGUGAAGACUACGCCCACUCUUUACUAUCCUUGAAUGACGCAUGAUUGAGGGUUCAAUGGGCUCCCUUAAAUCCUGAGUGUAAAAAGAAAAAAUGUAUUUAAGUAUUUAAUUUAAUGAUAGAUAUAUAAACAGUAAACAGAGUAAAGAGAGAAAUGAACAGAACCUAGUGGUGUAAAUAAGAAAUUACUGCAUCAAACUAAAAUGAAAGGCCAAGUAUAACACUGUUUGUAUAGGAGUAGAAAAUGUCAACCUGAGCCCGACCCAUCAGAAGCGACUUAGAAUAAGGUUGAUGCUAAUACACCCAAUACAAAAAUAACUUCUUUUGAAUGAUCAACAUAUACUUUCUUUUAUAAAGUGUAAAAUAUAUAAAUACAACAUUUUCUUAAUAAAAAAAAGUGCAAUUAUUUAUUUUUUUGAUAAUGGAUGUUGAUGUAGAACAUUCUUUUCAAUUUAAUUCAUAAUUACAUUUUGAUGGAUUAUUUGAAAAUAUAAAAUAGAUUGAGAAAACAAAAAGACUCGAUAUGGUUUGAAUUCUACCUCAACAGUUAUAUUGAAAUGAUUGUGACUCGACUUUUAAUUAUAUUUUGAAGAAAACAAGUUGUUGAAUCAAAGAGAGAUAAGUUAAGCCUCACACUUUGUUUGUUUUGAUAUUAUUGUAUAAGUAGAUUUCUUUAAAUGAAGUAAAUAUUUUUUUCAUUAUUUUUUGUAUAUGAAAAUAAGGUCAAGUAUAUGAUUUUUUUUUUAUUUUGAUUUAUUUAUUUGACAAAUAUUGAUUCAUGAAUUAGGUAUGAAAAGUUUUUCUGUUGUGUUAUAAAAUUUUUAAAGUUACAAAUUAAUCCUUAAAAAGUGAGAUAAUUGACAUCAAAACUAAUUGUAUGACCCUAUUAACGAAUUAUAAUAAUUUUUUUUGUUUUGAAAAGUAACGAGUUAUAGUAGUUAGUGUCUGAUCUCACUAAUGAGUUACAACAGUUAGCAUAUCAUUUCACCAAUAGGUUAUAAUAAUUGGCAUAAGGCUCAAUUAACUGAUUAUAAUAGUUAACAUACAACUCUACUAACAGGUGAUAAUAAAUAGUAAGAUCAUGAAAAUAAUGAUAUGAUCCUUAUCAAAGGUUAUAAUAGUGAUCAUAAUCAAAGAUGCAAAAACUUUAUGAGUUUUAAAAAUUAAAUUUAUGAUUUACUUGUUAGAAUAUUAAAAUCAUGAUUUUUUUUAAUCAAUAAUUUACAAACUUAAAAAAUUAUUCGUUUUAGAUAAUAGGAUUCUUUAAUUGUUUUAAAAACAUGAUUAAUUGAAAUAUUUUAAAUAAUUCAUAUAAUAUAUUGAAAUCAUGUUUGAUGUGGUAUAUAUAUGUGGCUAUACUUGCUGAGUUGUUCUUCAUCAUUCUGUCAGUGAUUGCUGCACCAACACAUGACCCAUACUUAUUAACAUUCCAUAACUGGUAAGGUAAUCUCCCAUAAGAGUUUCCUACAACCUUUGAAUCUUUCUUUGGUUUCCAAUCCCAAAAACGAGAAUUUGGUUCUUAACACCACCUUUGAAACAUACUUAGUGAUGGAGCCAAGAUUUCAUGUUUGGAGGGGUAACGGCUCAGAAAUGUCAACAUUUUGUGAAACAGUCCUUUUCUUAAAAGAAGAUUCAAUUUUCUUAUUACUCAUGACAAUUUAUUUUCAUAAUUCAAAAAUCUUUAAAAUUAUUCAAAAGAAUCAAUCUUAAUAAUUUACUUAAAAUAAUUAACUACUAUAAUCAUAAAUAAUUUAAUAAUGACAAUAAUCGUAUUCCUUGAUAAACUUUAACAACAAACAAAAAUUAAAAAAUAUAAUAACAAAAAUCUUAAUGGGAAGUAAUACCCUAAAAAAUAUUAAGUGCUAUCAAUAAACAAUUCAAUGGGAAGCAAUUCCCUAAAAUUAAUCACAAAAAUUAAAUACAAUAUCAGUAAACAAUUUAACGAAGAAGCAAUCCCCAAAUAAAAAACUUAUUUGUUCACAAAAAUCUAAAUAAAAAAAAUAAUUUGUAAAAAAGCAAUCAAGCAAUGCUUAAAUAAAUAAGUAAUAACUAACCUUACGUACUUAAUUAAAUCUUUGCUUUGUUGUUUUCAGUAAAAAAUGGUUAAGAUGGUAAAUCCUAAAUCAAAAUUAAUAAACAAAAACUAUAAAAUAAAAAAAAGUUUAAAGUUGAAAAUAUUAAAAAUAAAAUAACAUUAAAUAAACCAAAUUUACCAAUUAUCAUGACAUGAUAUUUAAGUUAUUGACUAGAGGUUUUAUGCACAGAGAAUGCUCAAGGAAAAAAGUGUUAGAAAAAAAUGACUUUUUGUUUCUAUUUGGUAAGAAAAAAGGAGAAUAAGAGGUGAUGGUUGUAAGGUUUCGGGAAGUGAAAUUUGGGCAUAAUUCUAUUGAAAAAUAGGUUUUUUUUUUUAGUCCUAAGUCCUGCUGACUAAUUGUUGUGGGGCAUCUCACCAAAUAAAAAAUUAUUAUAAGGACAAAAUUAUAAAAUUUCAAAAAAAAUAUGUUAGAAAAAUUUUAAAAUUUUUGUAGAGACAAAAUUAAAAAAUUUCAAAAAAAUAAAAGUAUAAAAAUUUUAUACUUGUUGGGGGCCCACUAGCCCCCCCUCCCUUCCGCCUUGAGCAUACUCUACAUUACCAGAAUGGAGUCAUCUAAGUUAGUCAAACAUGUCCAAAAUAUACACAAAUCUAAUGCUUUGUUUCUGCAUAAGAUAACAAGGCAAGGUUCUUGCCAUUUUCUAAAAUAACUAUGACACAUUUAAGCAAAGACUCACCUGAGAUGACAACACAGAACUUUCCUCUGAAGAUAUAUCUUGUGUCACAUCUUUCUUAACUUUACAAUACAUCCUGAAUAUACCAUCUAAAAUCCAAUAUUAAACAAAUGAGUUCACAUACAACCUAAUAACUUUGGAUUCAACUCAUGUUAACAUAACAAGACUUUAUUCGACUCAUCAGUUAAAAAAACACAUACAACCUACAAGUUUAUUGAAAAAUCUACAAACAUACCAAUUAUGUUCAUUUCACUUCGCACUUUCUACAAUUAUAUCAUCCUUUGUAGUUAAAACUUUUAAGGCAAACGAUUAAUUUACGUGAAGUUGAAAUAUUAAAUUGAGGGUACAAGUAAAAAACUAAACACAUAAUUAAAUCCAGCAUUCUAUAAAUUGAAAUUUAUCAAGCUACAAUUUUUAUUGUCGCUCCUCUCCUUGUUUUUGGAAACAAGUACACAAAAAAAAAGCAAUAAUUUUUGAAGAAUUAAAAAUAAAAAUGUAACUUAUUUAGAUAAGGAAAUGCAUAAUUAUACUUUUAUAAGAAGUAAUUAUCUUUAUAAUUAACAUUAUAUUCCAGUCAAUGUUCAUAAAAUCAAUUACAUAGUUUUGCUUUAAAGCAACCUUCGAAGCAAAUAGCAAAAACAACCAAACCAAGCUCUAAAAAGAUAAAAACUUAAAAGAAAAAUUACCUAUCGAUGAAUCAAACCACGGAGUAGAGUAAACCAAGAUAAACCUUCGGGAGGUCCCAACUGCAAUCAAUUUAAUCUCAUCUUCGCCGGUGAUGCAGUCGACAUCCGUCAAGUAAAGCUGGCUCUGCUUCGACAUUGGCAACUGAGAUAACGGAUUGGAAUAGGAAAGGAAAGAAUUUUGUAUAGGAAAGGUAAGCAGGUGCCUUUGUGGGGCCCAUGUGAAGAGUUGUGAAGAAAAUUCAGAAAAUUAAUUACAAAAUUAAAAUUAAAGCAUUGGAACAUUUUUAAUUAAAGUUUUGCAAAUUAAAACAUUUUCAAUACAAAUCCUAAGUUCAUCAGAAGAAAAAAAAAAACUACUUCAAAACUUGUCUUUUCCACAUAAAACUUCAGAUAAAUGCUGCCAAAUAUGAAAAGCAAAUUAUCCACUAAGAACACCCUGAAUUGUUCAAACCACUGUCAUGGAAAAGCCAGAUACUAGAGAAGGAGGGUCCAUUGGAUUCGGUUCGAACACCACCCUAGCAAGUAGAAAAAAACAAAGGAAAAAUCAAUUGUAGAUUACACAAGCAAUGAGAAAAAUUCCAUUGAACUCGAAGAUACUUUCCUGAAAAUUGCUCCAAAGUGGUCAAAAAGUUGUAAGGAAGGUGCAACUCGAGCAAGCUUUCCCACCCUUCUGCUUCUCAUUUGGAAAUUCCACCACAAAUCAUGUUAUUGGAAAGAUCUAAAAUUUCCAAAUGAUGUUCGAAAGAAAUUUGGGAAUUGUCUUAUGCUACACGAAGAGAAUGACACAGUAGCAAGCCGGGUAAAGGAAUAGUUAACAUCAUUGCCGCUUGUGCUUAAUGAUAGUAAACAAUUAUUUGCAGAACAUCAAAACAUUAAAGUUCUUAUUUAAACAAAACAUUAUUUAAUUAAUAAUGUUCUUUCUUAAAUAAUUAUUUAAACAAUUAUUUGUAAACAAAACAUUAAAGUUCUUUCUUAAAUAAUUAAUACUCUCUCUAUCCACUUAAAUAUUUAAUUGCACAUCAGAACACGUUAAGAUGAACCCUUUUGGUGUAAGCCCAUAGUAGAACAGCAAAACUAAGCAUGUGGCAAGGAUGACAAUAAAAAUUAUAAAAAGGCUUACUAAAUACAAUAAUCAGAGAAACAUGCAAGCAGAGGUUACAUGCUUAACAAUGAGACUGUUGCCACAAAUCUUGUGAUAGUACCAAAGGAAAAAUGAGAACUAAAGAUCAGUUAAAUGAUCUCAGCAACAGCAAACACUCCUGACCAAUGUAAAUCAGCUUCAAUCACCUAAAAAUUUGAUUCUAAGAAAAUAUUUCUUUUAGAAUAAUUAUAAGUAUACAUGAAUUUUGAAACAAGCACAUAUUUUUAGAGAUUCACACUACAUAAUUUAAGUACCAUGGAGAAGAUAACAGCAGAACUAACAGCAGAACCAAAUGAGGAAUAAUAUACAAGUUUAACAAACUUCACCUCGAGCAAAUGACUGAGGCUUCUCUUCUGACUUCCUCUUUGGCGUUUGUUCAGUCCGCCAUAUCAUUUUAGAAAAAGAAGCAAUUGUGGAAAAUGUUGCAGGCACAACUUUUGACAAAAUAGCUCCCAUCAAGGAACAGUUCCUAUCUUCUGAAAGUCUUCAACAUAAUUAAACCAAAGUUUAUCAAUAAAGCAAAAAAGUGAAACUACAAAUGAAAGAAUCCCUUCUUGUAAUGAAAGAUAAAUCAUAUGAUCUUUCAAAAUGCGAAGAAACUAACCUGAAAGCUGAGAUCACUGCAUCAUCUCCAAUGGUGACUACACAAUAGUAACGUUGACUUGACUGCGCAACAAUAAAAGCAGCUGAAUUCAAAUACCAGAAUAACUUCAGAAAGCUUCCAUAAUUCAUUGGCAAAAUUAACAAAAGCAUAAAUAAAAUGUACUAUAAGGAGCAAAAUAUUGAACCAGUAAAACCAUUUUUUCAAACGCUCAUUUUGAAGAUCAAAUGGCCAUUAAUUAAGAAUUGAAAAAUAAAUUAUUCAACUACUAGCAUGAGCUAGUAAAGAUAAAGCAACAUUAGAAAUCACUUGGAGUUCCAUGAAAAGGGGUGGCAUUAUGCCAGUGAUUGCUGCAUCAACACAUGUCCCACACCUAUUAACAUUCCAUAACUGGUAAGGUAAUCUCCCAUAAGAGUUUCGUAUAUCCUCUGAAUCUUUCUUUGGAUUCUGAUCCCAAAAACAAGAAUGUGUUUCUUGAAACCACCUUUGAAGCAUACUCUACAUUACCAGAAGGGAGUCAUCUAAGUUAAUAAAUCGAAUGCUUUGCAUCUGCAUCAGAUAAACAGGCAAGGUUCUUGCCAUGUUCCUGAAUAAUUAUUACACAUUUAAGCAGGGAUUCACCUGAAUAUCAGAUCCAUCAAAAUGAGCAAUUACACCAGGUAUGACAACACAGACCUCCUCUGAAGAUAUAUCUUGUGUCAGAUCUUUCUUGGUUCCACGGACUCUUAACUUUACGAUGCGUCCUGGAUAUACCAUCUAAAAUCAAAUAUUAAACAAAUGAGUUCACCAUUCCAACAAUGAUAUAUCUCUAACUGAUCUCAACCGAAUAGCUUUAGAUCUAAUUGAUGUUAACACAAGACUUCAUCCCACUCAUCAGUUAAAAAACACAUAUAACCUAUAAGUUUACAUGAAAAUCUACAAAACACACCAUUUAUGUUCAUGUCACUUUUCUACAAAUGAAUCAAGUUAAAAUGUUAAAUUGAACGUAAAAUUAAAAAACUAAACACAUAAAUAAAUCCAGCAUUCAAUAAAUUGAGUGUAAAUUAUUUUUAUUGUGCUUCUACUGCUUGCUUCUUGAAGCAAAACGCAAAAAAGCAAUCAUUUUUGAAGAAUUAAAAAUGAAAAUGUAAUUAUUUAGAUAUCUGAAACGCAUAAAUAUACUUUUAUAUGAAGUAAUUAACAUUAUGUUCAUUUAAUCAAUUACAUAAUUGUGCUUUAAAGCAACCUUUCAAGCAAAUAGCAAUAACAACCAAACCAAGCUCAAAAAAGACAGAAACGAAAAACAAUAAUUACCUGUCUAUGAAUCAAAUCUGCUCGCAAAGUGUACACCAAGAUGAACCCUCAGGAGGUCCCAACUGCAAUCACUUUAAUCUCAUAGAAAACCAGCCACUCUAUGGCCGUGAUGUGCUCGGCCUCGAUAGGUGAUAGAUCGGGUCGCAUAUUGACACGAAGCUCAUCCGGGUCGGACCAUCCGAGGGUGAGAAUAAGAGAUCGGUUAGCGAUGGCGAGAGAAUGGGCGUCCACAGCACAUAAAAGAGUGGUGCUGGCGUCAUGCUAGCCAUCCUUCCUUGCCAACGCCGAACUCAGACAAGUCUUCGCCGGCGAUGCACCGAGAUCCGCCUAGGGCAACUGAGAUUACAGAUUGGAAUUUGGACAGGAAAGAAUUUUGUAUAGGACAGUAAAGCAGAAGACUUACUGUGGAGUCCACGUGUAGAGUUGUGAAGAUAAUUAAGAAAAUUAAAUAAAAAAAUUAAAAUUAAAAGUAAAGCAUUUUUAACUAAAGUCUUUUAAAUUACAACAUUUUUCGAUACAAACUUCAAACAAAAGUAGCUGCUCACAAAUUUAAAAAUGAUAAAAUGCUGCUCCUCACGAAGAACACCCAGAAGCUGCUGUUGCAUUAGAUUCAGUUCGAAAGCCACCUUGACAAGUAGAAAAAUGAAAAGGAAAAAUCUGGAUGUAGUGCUAGUUUCUUCUUCUGCUGCUGCGUCUGCGAAUCCAAUUUGUAACAUUGUUUUGCCAAUCUCUCUCAACCAUUCUGACAAACCACCAUGGUCUUCCUGUUGUGAAUACAAUGUAUCCCAUGCUCAAUCCUAACACCACUCCACAUCCAUAGCCCAUCAUUACAACUUUCCAAAUAAAGGCUAUUUCAGAACCUUCAUCUUCGUUAAGCAUUGCUACCGGUGGUUUUGGUUCCUCAUCAUUGCCGCAUUGCUUUGAUAGUGGGAAGCCACACAAUCCCAAGUUACCACUAUAAGAAUCAUUCUCAAAAGUAUCAAAUUGCUUCCCAUUGGGAAUUGGUCCCACAAGAUCAUUUUGUGAAAGAUUUAACACUUCAAGGAAUGUCAGAUUCGUCAAUUGGGAAGGAAUUCUGCCACCAAGCUUGUUUGACGAGAGAUCUAACGAUUCAAGUGCUACCAUAUUUCCGAAAGAUGGUGGGAUAGGACCAGUCAAGUUGUUGUUAGACAAGUUGAGCGUUUGGAGAGAAAUAAGUUCUCCGAGUUCCUCAGGAAUUUGUCCACAAAAUAAAUUGUUCGAAAAGUCUAUGGAUGUAAAAAUAGUUAGGGUUUCCACCAACUCCAUCUCCAAUUUUUUUGUUGUUACAUUCACAGAAGCUUUCUCAAUAUCAACCAUAGAAGAUGCGCAGUCGCGAUUAUAUGGCUGUCCAGGAGUACACGACAGUCUCUUUUGAGGUACAUGAUCUUUCAUUGCUCUCAAAUUUUGGAAGAAUUUUGUUGGUAAGGGGCCGGUGAGCUCAUUAUGAGAGAGAUCAAUUAUUUGCAAUGCCGAGAAGUUAGAUGAAGCUAUGGAAUUGGGCAUGGGACCAUACAAUCUAUUCUUUCGCAAAAUAAGAACUUGUAGGUCAGGAAGUGAAGCUAACCAAUGGGGAAAGGUAUCAUCGAACUUGUUGUUCCUUAAAUUCAAAAUUUUCAAGGAACUACAGUUAGCCAAAGAUCGCGGCAGUAAUCCCUUCAAUUGGUUGUCAUUAAGGAAAAGAUUUGUCAACGAAUUACUUGUAAAAGAAUCAGGGACUUUGCCAUAAAAGUUAUUCAUCUCCAAGUUCAUGAACUGGAGAAAAAAGCUGAAAUUUCCUAGACAAUUUGGAAUGGUUCCAGUCAAGUAAUUUCUAGACAAGUCGAGAAACACAAGCGAACUUUGAUUGCAAAUCAAAGAAUUUGAAAGAAUUGGCCCUUGAAGCAAGUUUGACCGAAGGUCAAGAACUUCAAGAUUCAUUCCUGGAAAUUGCUCCAAAUUGGUCAAAGAGUUGUUAGAAAGGUACAACUCGAGCAAGCUUUCCCACCCUUCUGCUUCCCAUUUGGAAAUUCCACCAUAAAUCUUGUUAUUGGAAAGAUCUAAAAUAUUCAAAUUUGAUGUUCGAAAGAAACUUGGGAACUGUCUUAUGCUACAAGAAGAAAAUGACACUUUAACAAGUUGAGGGAAGGAAUAGUUAACAUCAUUGCCGCUUGUGCUUAAUGAUAGUAAACUAUUAUUUGAAAGAUGAAGAUCCGUAAGAUUUUUGAGUUUUGCAAGCAUAUUUGACUUGAUGACACCACUCAACUUGUUUGAGGAAAGAUCAAGCGUUUCAAGGCUCACAAGAUCAAAAAAAGAAUUCGAUAUUGAUCCAUGAAUGCCAUUAGAACUCAAAUCAAUAUAUUCAAGAGAAUUAGGCUUCUGAAUUUGGUCAAUUGGACCGGUGAGCUUGUUAUGGCUGAGAUCUAACCUUCCCAAAGAUGGCAAAGUAAACAGCCAAGAUGGUACUCCACCACUUAUAAGGUUAUUGGAUAUGCUAAUAUCUCCAAGCAAUUGAAGCUCACUAACAUGAUUUGGCAGGGAACCUUCUAAUCGAUUAUAUGACAAAUCUAGAUGGGUAAGAUGUGUGAGGUUGAACAUAGUUGAUGGAAGUUGACCACUAAAAUUACAGGAAUCAAAUGACAAAAAAGUCAAUUUAUUAAGAUUUCCAAAAGCAUCAGGAAUCUGUCCUCCAAAAUCAUUUCUUGUAAAAUCUAGGAAGAUGAUUUGAGUGAGAUUUCCAAAUGAUGCGGGAAUUGACCCUCUAAAACUGCAAAAGGAAAGGUCCAACAACUUAAGGGCAUUACUCAAGUUUGUCUUAGGGAGAUAACCUGUGAGAUUUUGAUUCCAACCUAAAUCUAUGUGCUGGAGGUAUGGAAGGCUAAAAACUUCACUUGAAAGUUCUCCAUCUAGCUGACAAUAAUUAAGACUCAAAUGUUCCAGAGAUGAAGUCAAGUUCAUAAAGGAAGGAAGUGCAACAUCAGACAUAUCUACAAAGUCAAGGAUAAGGUUUCUUAAUUCAGUUAAGUUGCGUGCAAGCAUGUCAAAACCUUGACUAUCAAAUCUCAAGCUGGGAUAACCAUUCCUUGAAAGAUCGAGUGAAACCAAUUUUGACAGGAGACUGAUUUCAUAUGGGAUUAAGUCAGAGAAUGAAUUACAGGAGAGAUUAAGAUGGGUCAAACUCACUAAUUGAUUAAAUAACUCUGAUGAGAUAGAGCCAUUGAAAUAGUUGUGAGCAAGGUUGAGUCGUUGAAGUCCUUGAAGGUGGAAGAGGCUGCUGAUUUCAAGAAGAGAGCCAUGAAGGUUGUUGGCACUGAGGUCGAGCCAUUGAAGUCUUUGAAGGUGGAAGAGGCUGUUGUUUGCAGGGAGAGUACCGUUAAGGCAGCUGGCACUGAGGUCGAUUCCAAUGACAUGACCCGUCACCAUGUGGCAACUGACUCCAUCCCAUGAACAACAAUCCGUGCUUUCAUUCCAAGAAUUUGUUGUAGGGUAAGAAGAAGGUACCCAACAAUCAUCUAGAGAAAUGGUGUUUUUGAAUUCGAGCAAGGCAGCUCUCUGUUCUGGGAGGCACGAAUAAGCUGAAUGAAAAAAAGAGGAAGAGGAAGUCAAUGAACAAUGGACCUGGAAAUGCAAGAACGCUAAAAGCAGGAAAAGGAUUCGAUACAACAUCCUAACUACCUUUCCCAUAUUUUCUCGAGAAAAAGGAAGUUAUGAAACAAGGGUAGUCGAAAAAGGGCAAGCUAGGGAGGUGAAACUGAAAAUGAGUUGGGGCUGAGGUCGAGGGACAUUAUAAAUGAAGUACCUGAGAAGUGGAGACAUCCCUUUUCAAGUCCACCAACAAGUCUUUGCAAAAUCUCUUAAAUUGUCAAAAUUAAAUUAAUGGAAAAAAAAAGGAAAAGUGUAUGUGCUGUGUUAGAAUGAAAAGCAUUAAGGCCACUGUAUCCAAUCCCAUUUGAGACGUUAGUAGGAUUUGCAUAUUUUUCUUGAUUUCUAAUUUGAUGUCUACUUUUAUUUUAGGCUUAUUGGGAUAUGCUUAUUAGAUCCAAAUCUCAGUAGAGACACAAAACUAAUUCAUAGAAUUGCAACUCAUUACUGUUUAACUCACUUGAUGUGAUAAUAGAAAUAAAAAAUUAUUAAAUAAAAAAAUUCUUUAUUAUAGAUUACAACUAAUUCAAGUCUUCGUCAAAGUAAUUUUAAGAAAUUAUAAAGAUUUUCACAUUUUGGGAUCAUCAUCAGAAAUUAAAGAUAGCUUUUUUUUUUUAUUUUUUUUCAAAAAAAAGAGAGAUAGGUCAAAAGUAAGAAUUCAUGUCAAAAGUAAGCCGUUUGUGAUGGUAUGACACUUAACAAUGUUAAAGGAAAAACUUCAAGAUGAUAGAAGGAGAAGAAUCAGGAAAUUGCUAGAAAAGUGUCUAAGCAUGUUUUUCCCAUCAUUCCAUUGCAUUUUCAAGUUAAACGCACCUACUAAAAGUUAGAGUAGCAUUGUUUUUUCUUAUAUUUUUGUUUUUACGUAUUUAUUCACCUGAUAAAUAAUUAAAUAAUUUAAAAAUAAAAUUUAUCAAUUUAUGGUAAAUCAAUUUAUUCAUAAAUAUAAUGUUUAAAAUUGAAUCAAUUUACGAACUCAACAGUCAAAAAGAUUGUCUUUGUUUAUAUUUUCAUGCUUUACACACAGUCGUCUUCGGCAACUUUCCCAGCAAUUAUUGAUUACUUCAAGUAUGGGAUAUCCUUUUGCUUUUUGUUCUUUAUUAAUUUCUUUGAUAAUUAUAAGUGUCUUUUUGCUUUUCUUUGGUCUUAAUUAAUUAAUUUACUUGGAAUUCCCAUUACAUGCUUUAGCUUUUCUUUGAUCUUUCAUUAAUAUAUUUACCAUGACUCUUCUUCUGUUAUGACUUGUCUUUUUUAGGUGUUGGGUGUUAAAAUAAUGAAGGGACCUCCAUUACUAUUAUAAGUGAUUAUAUUGGUGCAUUUCAUGUAUAUAUAGUUUUAUGUGCUUGAGAAAGUAAUUUUAGAAAAAAAAAAGUAAGAAUAAUGAGAAUAAAAAUCAAUAAUUUUUUUUCUUUUUUCUCUCAAGAGUUUUUUUUUUUCGAAAAGUGAAUUUAUUAAUAUUAAAACUAUUAUACCAUCUGAAUCCUGUAUAGAAUUGCUAAAGACUUCUGUUGGCAUAUAAUUCUAGCUCGUGCAUCAUCAAGACCCAUGGGAUCUCGUCAUGAAAAUCCUUACAAUUGAUAAUAUUAUAGCAGCAUAUAUGAAACCAUGGAGGACCAAUUAAGAAUUAAUGGAAAAGUGAUGACAGCACUAAAUAAUUUUAUCAUUCUAUGAUAAGGUUACUUUUAUCAAAUUUAAAGUUACUUUUAAAAAGAAAUGUAAAAUGGACAAGAUAGGUAAGCAUCAACCAUUUUGUUUAGUUCACAUCACAGAAAAGCCAAUUUUUUUUUUUCUGGGGAUGUGCAAUGGAACUGUUCCUUUCGAGAACAAGGUAUGAACUACUUACUGUUCCAUAGCUGGUAUUCUGUUUUUUUUCUUCUGGCUGUUCCAAAAAGGUACCUAUUGCUUGAAAUUACUGUCGAAGCAUACUUUAGAAUAUCAAUUGAGGGAAAAAUUGGUCAGAACUUCAUUUUGCAAUGCUUUCCUAUUGCUCCUGCAUGCAUUAGAUCAUAGUUAACACCAUCUUGAUUUGUGUCCCUUUCCAGCUACAAUAUUAAAUAGUUUUUUUUUUAGCUACAAUAUUAAAUAGUUUAUUUUCAAAUGAGAUAAAUAUUAUUAUAUUUAUAAUAAAAAUAUUUUUAAUCAAAGUUAUUCGAUAUAAUUAAAUUUGCAAUAUCUCAUUUUACAUUUGAUGUAAAUGUGAUUGUUAAAAUUUAUAUAACGAUCGGAGUAAAUUACUACUAAUAACUGAAGCUUGAGCUUUUCAUGUGAUUUAGACCUAAAAAGUUACCGAAUCAAUGCUUAGACUUAGAUUAUUAUAAAUAGUAUCAAAGCAUGUGUCAACUUGAUAUGGAUUUUCACAUUACGCUGUGAAAUCUUGAUCUUGUGGAAUGAGCAUUGAUUGUGAUUAUAAUGUGUGCCACAUUUACUGUGAAUGUAAUUCGUAAUUGUUAAGACUUUCAAGUCAAUCAUUAUUAACAACUUAAACUUACCCUUUUGAAAGUCACGUGGGUUAAACCUAAAAUCUACUAAUAUUUUGAAAGUCACAUGGUUUAGACUUAAAAAUUUACUGGACCCACAUUUGAGUUGGAUUUGAAAACUAAUAACAACUUGAGUUUGAGUUUUUAAAGAUUACAUGAUUUAAACAUGAAAAAUUAGUAAAUCCACAUCUUGUGUAAAGAUGAUUGUUAAGACUUAUAUAAGGAUUCAAAUAAACCACUAUUGACAACUUGAGCUUGCCUGAAAAGUUACUGAACUAGUGCUUAUUCAUCCAUUAGAACAAAGUUAAAUCUUAAAAUUAUCAUUCAUUGACAAAAAACCAAGUCAUAUUUCUUUAUCAAAUUAAGCUAUUUUUUUUUUCCAAUUUAUUGUCUGUGUGAAAAUAAAAGGACCCAGGAUUAGUACCAUCACUCUUUCCACAACUUACAUUUCAUGGCACCUUAAUUUGCAGUCACAGAGGAAACGAACAGAGUUGGCAAGGGACCAGUGAGCUCAUUAUGAGAGAGAUCAAGUACUCGCAAUGUGGAGAAGUUUGAUGAAGCUAUGGAAUUGGGCAUGGGACUAUGCAAGCUAUUAUUUCGUAGAAGAAGAACUUGCAGCAUUGGAAGUGAAGCUAACCAAUAGGGAAAGGUAUCAUUGAGCUUGUUGUUCCUUAAAUUCAAAAGUACCAAGAUGCUACAAUUAGCCAAAGAUAGCGGUAGUAAUCCUUCCAAUUGAUUGUCAUUGAGGAGCAGAUAACUCAACCUAUUAUCUGUAAAAAGAUCAGGGAUUUUGCCAUAAAACUUAUUCAUCUCCAAAUUCAUAUACCGGAGAUAGCUGAAAUGUCCAAGACAUUCUGGAAUCGCUCCAUCCAAGUUAUUUCUUGACAAAUCAAGUCUUGUGAGCAAACUCCAAUUACAAAUCAAAGGAAAGAUAUUUCCAGUCAAGUUAUUUUUUGAAAUUAAGAAUUCCGUAAAAGACGGUGGUGGAUUUGGAUUUUGAAGAUUCAACCAAAUUGACAGAAUUGGGCCUCGAAGCAAGUUGGACUGAAGGUCAAGAACUUGAAGGUUCUUUCCAGGAAAUUGCUCCAAAGUGGUCAGAAAGUUGUAAGAAAGGUUCAAUUUGAUCAAUCGUUCCCACCCUUCUGCUUCCCAUUUGGAAAUUCCACCACGAAUCUUGUUAUUGGAAAGAUCUAAAUCCUUCAAGUUUGAUGUUCGAAAGAAACUUGGGAACUGUCUUAUGUUACAAGAAGAGAAUGACACUUUAACAAGCUGAGGGAAGGAGUAGUUCUCACCAUCGCCGCUUGAGCUUAACGAUAGUAAAAUAUUAUUUGAAAGAUCCAGGUACAUAAGAUUUUUGAGUUUUGCAAGCAUGUUUGACUUGAUGACACCAAUCAAGUUGUUUGAUGAAAGAUCAAGCUCUUCAAGGUUCAUAAGAUCAAAAAAAGAACUGGGUAUUGGACCAUGAAUGUCGUUAAAACUCAAAUCGAUAUAAUGGACAGAAUUAGGGGUCUGAAUUUGGUCAAUUGGACCGAUGAGUUUGUUAUAGCUGAGACGUAAAUCUUGCAAAGAUGGCAAAGUAAACGGCCAAGAUGGUACUCCACCACUUAAGAGGUUAUUAGAUAACCACACUUCUUCUAGCAAUAGAAGCUCACUAACAUGAUUUGGCAGGGGACCUUCUAAUCGAUUAUAUGAUAAAUCUAGUUUGGUAAGUUGUGUGAGGUUGAACAUAGUUGUUGGAAGUUGACCACUAAAACUAGAGGAAGAAAAUAACAAAAAAGUCAAUUUAUUAAGGUUUCGAAAAGCAUCUGGAAUUUGUCCUCCAAAAUCAUUAUAAGAAAAAUCUAGGAAGAUGAGUUGAGUGAGAUUGCACAAUGAUGCAGGAAUUGGCCCUUUAAAACGGCAAGAGGUAAGGUCCAACAACUUAAGGCCACUACUCAAGUUUGUC
rnacentral:lncRNA from 1 species